rnacentral:rRNA from 1 species
CGCCUUUUGAACUAUCUGUAUAAAAGGUCCUGCCUGCCCAGUGACAUCUGUUUCAACGGCCGCGGUAUCAUGACCGUGCAAAGGUAGCGUAAUCACUUGUCUUUUAAAUAAAGACCAGUAUGAAUGGCAAGACGAAACCUAGCUGUCUCCCUAAGUUAAUCAAUAAAAUUGAUCCUCCCGUGCAGAAGCGGGAAUAAUAAUAUAAGACGAGAAGACCCUGUGGAGCUUUAAACUUAAACUAACAAACCAUAAAUGUACUAGCACCAAGUUUUAGGUUGGGGCGACCAUGAGGUAAAAUACAACCCUCAAGACGUAAAACUAAGAAGGACACUUCAAAUAAAUACCAUAGCACAAUUGACCCAAUAAUUGAUCAACGAACCAAGUUACCCCAGGGAUAACAGCGCAAUCUACUCAAAGAGCCCUUAUCGACGAGCAGGUUUACGACCUCGAUGUUGGAUCAGGACCCCCAAAUAAUGCAACAGUUAUUAAAGGUUCGUGUGUUCAACGAUUAAAGUCCU